rnacentral:tRNA from 1 species
AAUCUUGUAUUCAAGUAUGAUUUUAAAUUGCAAAUUUAAAGGUAACUUAUGUUUAAGAUUU